rnacentral:rRNA from 1 species
AUUGAACGCUGGCGGCAGGCCUAACACAUGCAAGUCGAGCGGAGUGGCGGACGGGUGAGUAAUGCCUAGGAAUCUGCCUGGUAGUGGGGGAUAACGUCCGGAAACGGGCGCUAAUACCGCAUACUAUCAGAUGAGCCUAGGUCGGAUUAGCUAGUUGGUGGGGGAAAGGCCUACCACGGCGACGAUCCGUAACUGGUCGGAGAGGAGGAUCAGUCACACGGGAACUGAGACACGGUCCAGACUCCUAGGUGAGGCAGGAGGGGGGAAUAGUGGACAAUGGGCGAAAGCCUGAUCCAGCCAUGCCGCGUGUGUGAAGAAGGUUUUCGGAUUUUAAAGUACUUUAAGUUGGGAGGCGUUACCAACAGAAUAAGCACCGGCUAACUUCGUGCCAGCAGCCGCGGUAAUUC